AGCUUAGCGCAGUGGCGAUAUCGUAACCAAAGAGGUAAAACCGAGGUGCGAUUAUGACUAGUUGAAAAUAACUUAUUAAAUUCGUCAAAACAAAGCAUGUUAACAACUUGUCAAAGUUUGCUUAUGCCAUAACUUCUUUUCUGUUUUGUAUGAAAAUCAAUGAACUUCGUAAUCUAU